UGCUAAAAUAACAAUUAAGAUUUGGCAUUAAUUUGAAAUUUCAAUAGAACAAGGACUUAGAUGCAAAAAAGCCCACGUUUCCCUCCCCAAAAGCGUCGCUCCUUUCUCAUCUUCUCCAAAACCGAAACCGCUACUUUCUAUUCCUCCUCCAUCUUCGUAUCCCAAAUAUCAUUCGCCGAUCUUUGAAAAAAAUUGCAAUUGAACCCAAGUCUCAAGCGAAGAACGGACGCAUCCCUGAGUCCAACUUCAUGAAACCCAAUUUUCAAGCCAAGGAAGAAGGAUCAUCUCUCGGCAUCCUCAGGAAUAAAAAAUGGGACAACUCCUUAAAGUACUUUAUAAAGCGACGGAGGAGGAGGAGGGUGCGUGGUGCAUUGCUACAAGAAGUAGGUGUUUGUGAGUAAGGAGAACGGGCUCGAGGUUUGGUCACAGCUGGAGUAGGAAGAGGAUGCGAGGAGGGGGAGGAUAAAGAUGAUGGAAGGCGGAGGGGGGUCGUCUGUUUUUGAGCAGGGAGAUUAUGGAGGGGGUUGAGGUCUGGGAGAGCUCCGGAUUAUCUGCUGCAAUCUCACUCUUGUAAUGCUGGAAGCAACGAGGGAUCAAGUUUGUACUUUGUACAACAGCAGCAAUCUGAUGAUCAAAAGCACUCGGGGAACUGAUGCAUUCUCAUAGUCUGGACUACACUCCAACGAUCAUGAUAUCGGACCUCGUUAUGCUGGUGUGCUGCUUGGCCUUUCAAACACUGCCGGAGUUUUAGCUGGUGUCUUUAGGACAGCAGCAACAUGCUACAUUUUGCAACACGGUUCUUGGGAUGAUGUCUUCAAAGUCUCUAUAGACCUCUAUCGUUGGAACUUGGAACUGUAGUCUGGAACUUGUUCUCGACUGGGGAGAAAAUCCUUGAUUGAUUUAGAUGAGUUAAGUAGGCCAUUUAAAGCGCGCAGAGGGUUUUCAUGCUCGAAGCAACCCAUCUUUGGAGCUGGACUGUGAGGUGGUUGGUGUUUUUAUAUGCCUGUUAUCAGAACAAAUGAUGUGAUCGGUGUUGGAUAGGAUUCCUAAUCUAUUUUGGUAACAUGAGGUUAUUAGGAUUCCUGA